UACGAAGGGGGCUAGCGUUGUUCGGAAUUACUGGGCGUAAAGCGCACGUAGGCGGAUCGAUCAGUCAGGGGUGAAAUCCCAGAGCUCAACUCUGGAACUGCCUUUGAUACUGUCGAUCUGGAGUAUGGAAGAGGUGAGUGGAAUUCCGAGUGUAGAGGUGAAAUUCGUAGAUAUUCGGAGGAACACCAGUGGCGAAGGCGGCUCACUGGUCCAUUACUGACGCUGGAGGUGCGAAAGCGUGGGGAGCAAAACAGG
rnacentral:rRNA from 1 species